UACGUAGGGUGCAAGCGUUGUCCGGAAUUAUUGGGCGUAAAGAGCUCGUAGGCGGUUUUGUAAGACAGAUGUGAAAUCCCCGGGCUUAACCUGGGAACUGCAUUUGUGACUGCAAGACUAGAGUGCGGCAGAGGGGGGUAGAAUUCCACGUGUAGCAGUGAAAUGCGUAGAUAUGUGGAGGAAUACCGAUGGCGAAGGCAGCCCCCUGGGUCGACACUGACGCUCAUGCACGAAAGCGUGGGGAGCAAACAGG
rnacentral:rRNA from 1 species